GACGAACGCNAGCGGCGUGCUUAACACAUGCAAGUCGAACGGAGCGAAUGAAAGCUUGCUUUUAUGAGCUUAGUGGCAAACGGGUGAGUAACACGUAGACAACCUGCCGACAGGAUGGGGACAACAUUCCGAAAGGAAUGCUAAUACCGAAUGAAGUCGAGGGAAGGCAUCUUCCUUCGAUGAAAGAUGGCCUCUAUUUAUAAGCUAUCACCUGUCGAUGGGUCUGCGUCUGAUUAGCUAGUUGGUGAGGUAACGGCUCACCAAGGCGACGAUCAGUAGCCGGUCUGAGAGGAUGAACGGCCACAUUGGGACUGAGACACGGCCCAGACUCCUACGGGAGGCAGCAGUGGGGAAUCUUCCGCAAUGGGCGCAAGCCUGACGGAGCAACGCCGCGUGAGUGAAGAAGGUCUUCGGAUCGUAAAGCUCUGUUGAUGGGGACGAACGUGCGAAGGGUGAAUANUCCUUGCAANGACG
rnacentral:rRNA from 1 species